UUAGAGUUUGAUCAUGGCUCAGAUUGAACGCUGGCGGCAGGCCUAACACAUGCAAGUCGAACGGUAACAGGAAUCAGCUUGCUGAUUCGCUGACGAGUGGCGGACGGGUGAGUAAUGUCUGGGAAACUGCCUGAUGGAGGGGGAUAACUACUGGAAACGGUAGCUAAUACCGCAUAACGUCGCAAGACCAAAGAGGGGGACCUUCGGGCCUCUUGCCAUCGGAUGUGCCCAGAUGGGAUUAGCUAGUAGGUGGGGUAACGGCUCACCUAGGCGACGAUCCCUAGCUGGUCUGAGAGGAUGACCAGCCACACUGGAACUGAGACACGGUCCAGACUCCUACGGGAGGCAGCAGUGGGGAAUAUUGCACAAUGGGCGCAAGCCUGAUGCAGCCAUGCCGCGUGUAUGAAGAAGGCCUUCGGGUUGUAAAGUACUUUCAGCGGGGAGGAAGGGGGUAAAGUUAAUACCUUUGCUCAUUGACGUUACCCGCAGAAGAAGCACCGGCUAACUCCGUGCCAGCAGCCGCGGUAAUACA
rnacentral:rRNA from 1 species